GUUGAAAAAAAGCUUCCAAUGAAUAUUAAAAUUACAUGCAGAUUGCUGUUGAGCAGCAAGCAUAUGCCGGGAAUAGAGAGGUCUGCUGCAGCCAUACAUCGUCCGAGGUGUCUAAUGUUUCCUACAGAUUGUCAUCUCUCUACUUUGUAGUAAAAUUGUUAUCAGAGUAUGUGUGUGUGUUGUCAUGUCCCAGAAAAGCCUUUGCUGAAUGGUUUUCCAAGUCAUGU